rnacentral:rRNA from 1 species
AAACCAACCGGGAUUGCCUUAGUAACGGCGAGUGAAGCGGCAAAAGCUCAAAUUUGAAAUCUGGUACCUUCGGUGCCCGAGUUGUAAUUUGGAGAGGGCAACUUUGGGGCCGUUCCUUGUCUAUGUUCCUUGGAACAGGACGUCAUAGAGGGUGAGAAUCCCGUGUGGCGAGGAGUGCGGUUCUUUGUAAAGUGCCUUCGAAGAGUCGAGUUGUUUGGGAAUGCAGCUCUAAGUGGGUGGUAAAUUCCAUCUAAAGCUAAAUAUUGGCGAGAGACCGAUAGCGAACAAGUACAGUGAUGGAAAGAUGAAAAGAACUUUGAAAAGAGAGUGAAAAAGUACGUGAAAUUGUUGAAAGGGAAGGGCACUUGAUCAGACAUGGUGUUUUGUGCCCUCUGCUCCUUGUGGGUAGGGGAAUCUCGCAUUUCACUGGGCCAGCAUCAGUUUUGGUGGCAGGAUAAAUCCAUAGGAAUGUAGCUUGCCUCGGUAAGUAUUAUAGCCUGUGGGAAUACUGCCAGCUGGGACUGAGGACUGCGACGUAAGUCAAGGAUGCUGGCAUAAUGGUUAUAUGCCGC